GACGAACGCUGGCGGCGUGCUUAACACAUGCAAGUCGAACGGUAAGGCCCUUCGGGGUACACGAGUGGCGAACGGGUGAGUAACACGUGGGUGAUCUGCCCUGCACUUCGGGAUAAGCCUGGGAAACUGGGUCUAAUACCGGAUAGGACCACUGCCUGCAUGGGUGGUGGUGGAAAGCUUUUGCGGUGUGGGAUGGGCCCGCGGCCUAUCGGCUUGUUGGUGGGGUGAUGGCCUACCAAGGCGACGCCGGGUAGCCGGCCGGAGAGGGUGACCGGCCACACUGGGACUGGGAUACGGCCCAGACUCCUACGGGAGGCAGCAGUGGGGAAUAUUGCACAAUGGGCGCAAGCCUGAUGCAGCGACGCCGCGUGAGGGAUGACGGCCUUCGGGUUGUAAACCUCUUUCAGCACCGACGAAGCGCAAGUGACGGUAGGUGCAGAAGAAGGGCCGGCCAACUACGUGCCAGCAGCCGCAGUAA
rnacentral:rRNA from 1 species